GUGCCUUCAUGUGUUUCUCAGGUGACAGGUAGGAGAUAUGGUCUGGUAACACCAUGCUUCAGAAUGUGACGGUGGAGCUAGCCUGCUUGAGACCUUGGGGCUGGAGAACAGAGGAAUAGAAUUCAAUUCCCAGCAUUCAUAACCAGUGGCUCCAAGGAACUCAAAGCCCUUUUCUUAGCCUCCUCAAGUACCCACAAACAUUUGGCUUACAAACACAGACAGACAGACACA